rnacentral:misc_RNA from 1 species
UGAAAAGAGACAACUGACAUGAGUAAAAAUAAAUGGAUGAACAUGCUCAUCUUAAAAAACAUCCGAUCAAGAAAAGAAAUUUUCAACAUCCUACUGUUGGCAGGCAGAGCAGUGUGCCAACUACCAAAGCAACAAAAUGAAAAAUUAAACAACUGUUGCUGAAAAUUAAAAUAUCGAAGUCUAAACAUGUAUUGUCAUGGACUACAGAAAGGUACCAAGUAAACCUCUGCAAAGGCCCCAGGGAUAUACAAGUAAACAAACAAGACGCAUUGGCAGUCCGUAAUGGUACCCUCUAUGUAAGUCUACCUGAUUGUCACAAACUUGUUGGUACCAUGUUUGGCCCAGUGAGUCCUCAGAUCAAUUGGAUUAGCAAAAUUGUAUCCUUCUGCAGCAAGUUUCUCCAGAACCUUCUUGAAUGCUCCCUGGCUCAUCUUUCUUCCAGCAAUCCUUGCUCCACGUCUUUUAGUACUCAUUGGAAGUGGAUACAUUGAUAUGCUAGUGGUGCAACAAGCUGACUGCCAGCCACCACAUCCCCAUCGAUAGCAUUGCUGAGGAGAACCGGUACAGGAACAAACUGGUAUAGGAAUGACAGAAAUGUCCAUAUCAAUACCAUUUAAUACAAUGUCCAUGCUCUUCUUUGCUGGUUUUGCUCGUUGAGAGGGGUUGCCAUUUUCCUUGGGUGCAGAUGACACUUUCUUUGACUUCUUUGCUUUGGGAGCUUUGGGAGUGGCACCACCAGUCUUUCUCUUUGAAGGACCACUUUCUUUCUUAACACUUGGUUCCUCAACAUUCACCCCCACAUCCUUAGUUGUAUCAGGUUGUUGUACCAUUUGCAUGGGAGUACUUGCAGAAGCAUCAGGGAGAACUGAAGUGUAAGGACUCCCAGGAAACAUAUGAAGAAAUUUGUCUCUGUGAUUUAUCCAACUGUCCCUUACAUAGUCAAUGUGAGAUAAAGGUGCUUCUGGGAUGAUAGAAUCCCGGGAAUGGAACACCCCAUUAGCAC